CGACUGGGAUUGGGUUUUGGCUCCUCAUUUAGGAGCUUGUGACCAGGCUUCUGGAACUAGGGACUGUCAUGUGAGCCACGGCACUCAGGGCGGGAGGACUUCACCAUUCCAGCUGUCAUCUGGGCCGCUGGGGCUCCCUGCAGAGAAAAGGGUAGGAGUUCGGAGCUGGUGUUGCUGUGACAUGAAGGGAUCAAGUGCAGAAAUACCUGAAAGGAGGUACCUGAAAGAAGCUAUAACUCAGGAGUCCAGAAACACAGGAGAGACGUUUUCUUCAGCAACAGCCAUGCACGGCCAGGGAUAGUGGCAACAGGGGUCAACAGCCUUAGACCCGGGGAUCUCAGACAUGGAUUUCUGCAUUGGAAUAUGCCCGUAUUGCUUGGAGCUUCAGCAGCUAUCUCACAAUCACAAGCAACUCAAGAUAUGAAAUGCCAACAGCUUGAGGAAGGUAAAGCAGAAAGAACAGAAGAGCUUCAUUCCUGAAGACAAUUUUGAGCUAUUGAACCAGUUUUAGAAUAUCCACCUCAGGCUGCUUAUUAGUUGAAAUAAUUUAACAUUUUUACUGCUUAGCUCAGCCAGAGAUUGGCAAACUACAGUCUGUGGGUCAAAUCCAGGAACUCAAAAAUUGUAUUUACACUUUUAAAAGGCUGUUAAACAAAUAAAAAUUUUAAAAACCA